CACCGUGUACACUACACGAAGAUUUUCAUAGUGCUAAUGAUUCCUUGUAAUAACUUUUGAGCUUCACUUUGAAGGAAUGUAACCUUCAUGUCCAGUAAAUAUUGUUAUAUAUACAUGUGUCACUAGAAGACUAAGGAAUACAG